rnacentral:rRNA from 1 species
CAUUAGUGAUAAACGCAACGCGAUCGCAAGGUCGUGUUGCUAACCUUCUACUAUUACCAAACCACUGUUUAAAAAUGUAUACAAGAAUGUCAUAGUGCGCUACUUAGCCACGAAAAAGAAAGCUUUAAUAAAACUUUCAGCAAUGGAUCUCUUGGUUCAGGCAUCGAUGAAGAACGCAGCGAAAUGCGAUAAGUAAUGUGAAUUGCAGAUACAGUGAAUCAUCGAAUCUUUGAACGCAAAUGGCGCUCUAUGGUAUUCCGUAGAGCACGUCUGUUUGAGCGUCGCGAACAUCUCCAUAAGCUGGUUUUACUAGUGAGUGGGUUAUGAGGUUGUCUAGUGAUAGACUUCCUUCAAGUGUAUUAGCAGGGCUCUAUAGAAGGGUUAAUACUGUGUGUUAUAAUGGAUCUCAUCCAUCGCCAGUCAGAAGUGAAAGCUUCGCCUUGAAAUAGUAGCUAUUCAGCUUCCAACUGCCUUUGGGCAAACUUACUCGAUC